ACUGCUCAGUAACACGUGGACAACCUACCCUUAGGACAGGUAUAAACCCGGGAAACUGGGUAUAAUCCCUGAUAGUCCUCGACUGCUGGAAUGCAUCGAGGCCGAAAGCUCCGGCGCCUAAGGAUGGGUCUGCGGCCUAUCAGGUAGUAGUGGGUCUAAAGUACCUACUAGCCUACGACGGGUACGGGUUGUGAGAGCAAGAGCCCGGAGAUGGAUUCUGAGACACGAAUCCAGGCCCUACGGGGUGCAGCAGGCGCGAAAACUUUACAAUGCCGGCAACGGCGAUAAGGGGACCUCGAGUGCCAGGUUACAAAUCUGGCUGUCGUGAUGCCUAAAAAGCAUUGCAUAGCAAGGGCCGGGCAAGACCGGUGCCAGCCGCCGCGGUAACACCGGCGGCUCGAGUGGUAACCGUUAUUAUUGGGUCUAAAGGGUCUGUAGCCGGCCGGAUAAGUCUCUUGGGAAAUCCAGCAGCUCAACUGUUGGGCUUCCAGGAGAUACUGUCUGGCUCGAGGCCGGGAGAGGUGAGAGGUACUUCAGGGGUAGGGGUGAAAUCUUGUAAUCCUUGAAGGACCACCAGUGGCGAAGGCGUCUCACCAGAACGGACCUGACGGCAAGGGACGAAAGCUAGGGGCACGAACCGGAUUAGAUACCCGGGUAGUCCUAGCCGUAAACGAUACUCGCUAGGUGUCGGCCACGGUGCGACCGUGGUCGGUGCCGUAGGGAAGCCGUGAAGCGAGCCACCUGGGAAGUACGGCCGCAAGGCUGAAACUUAAAGGAAUUGGGGGGGGGAGCAC
rnacentral:rRNA from 1 species